GCAGAYGUCCAUGUUUCCUGGUAAAAUGGGGGUGUUUAAACCCCAAAGCCGGGUUUGUUUGGAUCUGCGGGUAUCCCUGCAGCUACAGUCAAUACGUUAGAGCAGAGGGUGUGGUUUGGGGUGAAACCCGGCUUGUGAUUAAAAUACCGGGUGCUCAUUCCAGGCAGGGAAGGUUAAGGUUGGGUAUAAGGAAAAGGUUCUUCCCCUACAGGGUGGUCGGGCACUGAACAGGCUCCCCAGGGAAUGGUCACGGCCCCAAGACWGCCGGAGCUGCAGGAGUGCUUGGACAAGGCUCUCUGUGUUGGGGUAGGAGUUGAACUGGCUGAUCUUUAUGGAUCYCUUCCAACUCAGGAUAUUCUGUGAUCUCCUGGAACAAGGACUUUGCCUUCCCUCCAUGAAGCAUUCCCGGUGCUUGCUGCCAUGCCAGGAUCUUUCCAGAAAGCCGAAGCUCCCUGCCUGCCGUCCAGGAUCAGCAUGGCACAUUCCAGACGAGGAGCCUGACCGAGACGCAGGAAUCGGGACAGCCGCGGCAUCAGGAACGGCAUCACGAACCGGAAUCCCCAACGCGGGGUACUCGAGAGCAGCACGGCAGCCUGGCGGAGGACACUUUUCCCCUCACRG